rnacentral:rRNA from 1 species
UACGAAGGGGGCUAGCGUUGCUCGGAAUGGACUAGGGCGUAAAGGGCGGCGUAGGGCUGGAUGGCACAGUCAGAAUGUGAAAGUUCCCGGGCCUUAACCUGGGGGCUGCAUUUGAUACGUGUUGUCUUGAGUUCGGAAGAGGGUCGUGGAAUUCCCAGUGUAGAGGUGAAAUUCGUAGAUAUUGGGAAGAAGCACCGGUGGCGAAGGCGGCGACCUGGUCCGACACUGACGCUGAGGCGCGAAAGCGUGGGGAGCAAACAGG